UUGAACAUAAAUUCUAUGUUUUGAUAUCCAUUUUGGAUCAUAAAAUUAUAUGGUGAGAUAGAUAGUUGGCUUCUCAUGACCAUAAAGUCCAGCUAUCUAAAGGAUUCUUCUCUCAACAUAAGAAGCAAUGCACACCAUUAGAUAUGAGUAGGGGUGUAACUAAUUUGAUGAAAAAUCGAACAUCGAAUCAAAAAAUUGAAAAACCGAAAUAUGCAACUUAGGCCCAAAGCCCAUAAAAAACCCUAAGGCAAUUAUUUUAAAUAACGUGGGACUUAUCUUAUCAGACAUGUGAGGCUUUUCCAUCCUCACUCUAAAACCCUAACCUAUGCGCCUCCCUCCUCCCUCCUCCCUCCUCCCUCAGAUUUCCAUUUUCAUUCUUCCCAUCAUCCACCAUUUUCGUGUCCUUUAUCAUAUCUUUAUGAUAACCAAAGUUCUCACUUCUCAUAUUGAUUGGAGGCUAUUGUUGAUGCUGGUAGAUUUGGAUGCUUUUCGCCUUUUCGGAGAUUAAUGCAUAUGUUCGAUGUUUCAGUGAACUAUUUAUGGAAUUUGUAAUGAACUUUUUAAGUUCAGAAUUUUUAAUGAACUCUCUAACUUGUUGUAACGUAUUUUGUUAUGAAUUCUUUAAAUUCUAAUGAACUACUCCUAUUAUGGAAAAAAUUUCAAUUUGGUUCAAUUCUAUCAAUUUGGUCAAAUAGGCCAAUUCGGUGCUA